ACGAACGCUGGCCGGCGUGCCUAAAACAUGCAAGUCGAACGGUAUGGGUAGCAAACUCCACAGUGGCGAACGGCGGAGUAAUACGUGAGCAAGCUGCCCUAGACCGGGAUAGUCAGCCGAAAGGCUGGGUAAUACCGGAUGUGGCCCCUUAUCGGCAUCGUUGAGGGAUCAAAUGGUUUUUUCGCUUAGGGAGGCGCUCACGGCCCUACUCAGGUAGUUGGCGGGGAAUGGCCCACCAAGCCUACGACGGGUAGCGGGUCCUGAGAGGAUGGUCCGCUCGAGUGGACUGAGGACACGGCCCACACACCUACGGGUGGCAGCAGUUGGGAAUCUUGCACAAUGGCGAAAGCCUGAUGCAGCGACGCCGCGUGGGUGGACGAAGGGUCUAGGCCUGUACAGCCCUUUUCUCGGGAAAGACUUAGGACGGUACCCCGAGGAAUAAGCACCGGCUAACUACGUGCCAGCAGCCGCGGUAAGACGUAGGGUGCAGCGUUGUCCGGAUAUUACGGGCGUAAGGAGCGCGUAGGCGGCUCGUUAAGUGUAGAGUGAAAUCUCGGGGCUCACCCCGAAACAUGCUCCGCAUACUGGCGAGCUUGAGGGACUGAGAGGUGAGUGGAAUUCCUGGUGGUAGCGGUGAAAUGCGUUGAUAUCCAGGAGGAACACCCAUGGCGAAGGCAGCUCACUGGCAGUCACCUGACGCUGAGGCGCGAAAGCGUGGGUAGCAAACAGGAUAGAUACCCUGGUAGUCCACGCCCUAAACGAUGGAUGCUAGGCGUAAGGGUAUCGACCCCCCUUGUGCCGCGUCUACCGCACUAAGCUCCCGCCUGGGGAGUACGGCCGCAAGGUUGAAACUCAAUGAAUUGACGGGGACCGCACAAGCGGUGGAGCAGUGGAUUAAUUCGAUAUCUAACCGAAGAACCUUACCCAGGUUUGACAAUCGAUUGGAAAACCCCGAGAGAUCGGGGCCCCUCUCACAAGGGAGGCCUGAAGACAGAUGUUGCAUGGCUGUCGUCAGCUCGUGCCGUGAGGUGUACGGUUAAGUCCGCCAACGAGCGCAACCCUCGUCCUGUGUUACCAGCACAUAAUGGUGGGCACUCACAGGAGACGCCCGGUGUAAGCCGGAGGAAGGUGGGAUGAACGUCAAGUCAGCAUGGCUCGUACGCCUGGGGGCUUCACACAUGCUACAAUGGGCGCAACAAAGGGCCGCGAACCGGCGAGGUGGAGCCAAUCCCAAAAAUACGCCCUCAGUUCAAGAUUGCAGUCCUGCAACUCGACUGCAUGAAGCGGAAUCGCUAGUAACGCAGGUCAGCUAUACUGCGUUGAAUACGUUCCCGGGUCUUGUACACAGCCGCCCGUCAAGUCACCUGAAUUGUCUUCAUCCCGAAGUCCGUGCCUAACCGCAAGGAAGGAGCGGCCGAAGGUGAGGGGGGUAAGGGGGACU
rnacentral:rRNA from 1 species